GUGGCAGAUUGACAAGCUCUCGCUAUGCCGCUGCCUCUCUGCAUUUCUCUUCCUGGUUGGUGUGAUAAGAGCAGCUUUCCUCUGCCCUGGAUCUUCCAUCACACCACUGACCAUGCAAGCUUCUAAUAUGUGAGCCAAAAUAAACUUCUGGUCCUUUAAGUUGCAGAUGUUCAGUAAUUUGUGCCAGUCACUAAGAGAGUGAUUAACACAGCUGUAUAGACCUGUCACGGUACAUUAACAAAGCAAAAAAGCCCUUGGAAGAUACUGCCACCUGGAUGUUGGACUGCACAGCUUCCCUAACAGAUUGUGUGUGAUUAUCUCCCAACAGCAAGAAGUUAUGGAGGAGAUCUCAUCUCCAGAGGAGGAGGAGAAAAAGCCAGAGGAAUCCUUCACUUCAAACGCAAUCUAAUACAGAAGUUUUCUCUCUGCUCUGCUCUGCUCGGCUGGCCUAAGAUUUUCAAGAUGAUCGCUUCAUUUCUAACAUCACAUCUAUACAUUCAAAAGACACAGAAGGAUGAAAGUAAGGGACUACACAGCUAUCUGCAUUCCAUUUUUUGUCAAGAAAGUAGCAAUCCUUGUAGAACAUCAUCUUGAUGAUUUUGUUGUGGAUUUGUUCCAAAUUUGUCACUCCUAGCUACUAAAAGUCUAGAGAACCAGG
ensembl:lncRNA